AGGAGGUAAGACUGGGGCUUAGGCUGACAUAGCAGCCAGCUGAGCACCACUGAUGCGGGAAGAUGAAGCAGGUGCCGUGCAGAUGCUGGGGCAAUACUUUGAGGUCCUGGAGGCUAGGCAGCCUUUGGGAUGCAGGAGCAUCUGUUACAAGCAUAUCUGGAGGGUGUUUGGGCGCCUGACAGAAAGUGGGAAGUGCCCAGGAGUUCAUUUUUCGGAAUCGCUGUCCAAUGGCGCCAGUCUGCCUGUUUGCAACAUUUCACCCAGUUUUGCAAAUCUGACAGCCCUCUGGCCAGCGUUACGUGUUCUGCCACAACGUUUUGCGAAACACACUGUCGCUUAUCGAAACAACAACAGGGUAGAGUUCUGCUUGUGGUAAAAGUUCACAACACUGACCAGCCGAAAAAAAACGAUACUGAUUUUGGGACGAAUCAUCACCUAACCUUGUAGUGAAGCUGCACUGAUUUGCACCACCUGAGGGUAUUGUGCCUUGGUAGUAAUGACACUCUGCAGACUUCCCAGGCCUGCUAACUUCAAUGCUGACUUUCAUAGGAUGUGCGUGCUCACCACACUAUGGAGAAGUGAAGAGCUGAUGAUCUCCUGUCUGUCUUGCUGCGGCAUUUAGGUUGCUGCUGCACUCCUAAUGACUUACCAAAUCUUAACGGCGCAGCCUGAGCUCUCCUGCUUACAGACCUCCUUGUGUGUGGUUUAAGUGUCUCUCAACUUGCCAGACCAAUUUCUUCAAUGCAUUUGCACACAUUGGCAGAUGUUCUCCUAACCACUGGUUAGGACAUUGACAUGGAUGUUAAUCUAUGGUGCUGACAAACAUGAUAAACCAUAAACACC